GUUCGUGCCGAAGGCCUGUGUCCUAGGCUACACACGGAGGACUAGCUCCUUGUUUGCGCCGAGGGGAAAGUCCCCAGACCUCGGGCAAAGAGUGCCACCUGAGCAUGCAUGUAGACUUUCCCUGCUCCUCAUGGUUAAGCCCGCCAAGAAGCUAUCCUGCCCCAUGCUGGGGGCAGCCAAGUAGCCUGUGGUGAGGUAUCAUCCAUCAUCAGGCUGUGUGCCUCAGCACACACCGCUCUCACUCCAUCAUCAGGCUGUGUGCCUCAGCACACACCGAUCUCACAAGGCUCGUUCUCAGCACACA
ensembl:ribozyme RNase_MRP RNase MRP